AUGGUGAGGGAAGUCCCGCGGCGGUAACAGCCAGAAGCCGCCUAGCUUGGGUAGCAGUAUGGAGAGUAAUCGAGAAGUUGAAGCCU
rfam:Deltaproteobacteria bacterium RIFOXYA2_FTLL_55_11 rifoxya2_full_scaffold_3912, whole genome shotgun sequence.